rnacentral:misc_RNA from 1 species
GAUGAAGAACGUAGCGAAAUGCGAUAAGUAAUGUGAAUUGCAGAAUUCAGUGAAUCAUCGAAUCUUUGAACGCACAUUGCGCCCAUUAGUAUUCUAGUGGGCAUGCCUGUUCGAGCGUCAUUAAGUCCACUUAAGCCCUGCUUAGUGUUGGGAGACUGCUCCAGCGGUGCUACCCUGUAGCUACCCUGCAGCUCCUCAAAGACAGCGGCGGAGUUGUGGUAUCCUCUGAGCUUAGUAACUUGUUCUAGCUUUCGAGUACACCACUUCCCCGGCCGUAAAACCCUUAAUUUUUAAUGGUUGACCUCGGAUCAGGUAGGAAUACCCGCUGAACUUAAGCAUAUCAAUAAGCGGAGGA